AGAGUUUGAUCCUGGCUCAGGAUGAACGCUAGCUACAGGCUUAACACAUGCAAGUCGAGGGGCAUCAGGAAGAAAGCUUGCUUUCUUUGCUGGCGACCGGCGCACGGGUGAGUAACACGUAUCCAACCUGCCCUUUACUCGGGGAUAGCCUUUCGAAAGAAAGAUUAAUACCCGAUGGGAUAAUCAUUCCGCAUGGUCUGAUUAUUAAAGGAUUCCGGUAAAGGAUGGGGAUGCGUUCCAUUAGGUUGUUGGUGAGGUAACGGCCCACCAAGCCUUCGAUGGAUAGGGGUUCUGAGAGGAAGGUCCCCCACAUUGGAACUGAGACACGGUCCAAACUCCUACGGGAGGCAGCAGUGAGGAAUAUUGGUCAAUGGGCGCGAGCCUGAACCAGCCAAGUAGCGUGAAGGAUGACUGCCCUAUGGGUUGUAAACUUCUUUUAUAUUAGAAUAAAGUGCAGUAUGUAUACUGUUUUGUAUGUAUAAUAUGAAUAAGG
rnacentral:rRNA from 1 species